UAUAUAUAUAAUCUAUGUUCUUGUAGAUUAAUUGAAGAAUACAAGCAUAUUCAACCAUUUUGAGGAGAAGUAGGAAAUGGCAAACAAUGAGGUUAUGGAGGUUAGUGGAGAAAGUUGUGACGGACCAUGGUCAACUAGAAAUGAGAAAAUCUUCAUUCGACUCAUGGACGAGGAGAUUAAAUCAAACAAAAGUAGAGAAACUGGCACUUUCACAGCAGAAGCUUGGAAAAGGAUUAAGAGUGAGUUGAAAAGGCUAAUCGCAUACGAUUAUACAAACGAAUAGGUGAAAAAAACGUACUUCGUGCUUCGCAUUCUAUUCAACACCUUCAACUCAUUGAAAGCAAACUUCGGUGUUGGUUGGGAUAGCACACUUCUGACCAUUACUGCUCCAAACGAUGUUUGGGAAAGACUUUUCAAGGUUAAUAAAAAUGCGAGGAAAUUCAAAAAAAAAAAGAGGAUGCCAUACUACCAUGCGUUGUGCCGCAUAUUUGCGGACACGUCUGCCACUGGAGUGCAUGCUCACCCUUCAAACAAAGUCCCCUUUGGUAGUGAUAAUUCAGA